UAGAGUUUGAUCCUGGCUCAGGAUGAACGCUGGCGGCGUGCUUAACACAUGCAAGUCGAACGAUGAAGCCCAGCUUGCUGGGCCGAUUAGUGGCGAACGGGUGAGUAACACGUGAGUAACCUGCCCUUGACUCUGGGAUAAGCCUGGGAAACUGGGUCUAAUACCGGAUAGGAACGUCCACCGCAUGGUGGGUGUUGGAAAGAAUUUCGGUCAUGGAUGGACUCGCGGCCUAUCAGCUUGUUGGUGAGGUAAUGGCUCACCAAGGCGACGACGGGUAGCCGGCCUGAGAGGGUGACCGGCCACACUGGGACUGAGACACGGCCCAGACUCCUACGGGACGCAGCA
rnacentral:rRNA from 1 species